AGUUUCAUAGCGCAGGGGAAGCGCGCCGGACUGUAAGCCCGGAGGUCCUCCGAUCGAAACGGAGUGAAACUA